UUAACUCAGUGGUAGAGUAACGCUAUGGUAAGGCGUAAGUCAUCGGUUCAAAUCCGAUA
rnacentral:tRNA from 4 species